GGGACAUUUCAGCUACAGCUAACAGUCAGGUGAUCUUUUGGAGCUGUUAAGUUUUCAAUUAGCCCAAUGAAUAAUGUUAGUUUUCUUUAAAGGCCAGUUGUUUUUAAUGUACUAUCUGUCAGAUAACACUAAUAUAUUGUUUCUUGUCUCAAACAAACAGAAAAUACAUCCACACCAGUGCAUUUGUUGGUAAGUAUGAAUGUUUUAACCGAGACUGACAACAAACAAAAUAAAAAAAAUAAUGAUUAGCUUUAUCCUGUUAAACAACAUGUCAUUCAAGAUAAUGUACAAAAAUAUGAUGCAUUUUUUCAAAAACUGAGUUUAAAUUGAUAUGAAACAUUGAGCUAUCUGUGGCAUUUCCUGUAUGAGAAAUAUAGGCGGGAUACUGUUUUUUCCUUGUAGACAUCAGUAUGCUAACAAAAUUACUACACUACUUAAUAAUUUUAUUGAAACAUUUUAACUUGCUGGGAAAGUCUAAUUCUUGAUUUUGGCAAUAAAUAAGUGGGAAAUUAAUUCAGGAAAAUUACUUUGAAUGAAGUGAGCUGUGAGGGAGGCUUUUUUGAAUGUAUUAAAAAUCCCUUUUCUUCCCUCUCCCCCUCCUCCUGCCUCAUCUUGUCCUCUGACCUGUGCGAACCCCCCAACCAACUCUGAAGUGUAAGUUCACACUUGUAUAUACUUAUAAAGCAAUCACUUAGAUGUUACAUUUUUGCUCUGCAGUUUAUAAUGACAUUUCACUGUUUUGUAUUUCACCUCAAUAACACACAUAAGAAAGUAAAAAGUAAAGAGGUCCUUCAUUGUGUUUGUGCAUUUUCUCUCCAUUUUAACAAACAUUUUUUACAGGCCAAGGGAGCUGCAGUAAUAUCCUUUUACUAAUCAAGUGCCACAAAUUGUAGACUACGAUAAGAAAUGAGGGAAGCUCAUGAUCCACACUGAAAAGCGGUUGUGAUUACAGUUAACUAUAAGAUGCUGAUUUUUUUUUGCAACUAAAUUUAACUGUUUUGUCCCUCUGUCUUUUCCCUCCUUCGGAACUCCUCAACGCUACCUCUACUGCUGGCCCUGUUCAAUGUUGGCAACUCAGCUGUAAGUUCACAAAUAAAGUAACUUAAAAAUAUGAACAGUCUUAAUUUUUACAUCACAUUAUGUAAAACCUGACAUUAUUUCCUUAUUUGACAACCUGCAGCACAUUUUCAUUGUAACAUAAACCAUUUAAAAAACACUUUAUUUAAACUAAUGCAGAACCAAAUGGAAAUAAUUUUGCUGGCUGAUUAAAGUUCGAACUACAAUGCAGUGAGAUGUGCUGGUUUUGUACAACUAAACUUAAAAUCUCUUGUCUCUGUUUUUCCAUUUUCCUUCUUGCUAACUCUAUCCUGUCUCCAAGUGCAGACUGCUUUGUGGCGACUCGGCGUAAGUUCACACAGGAAUGACAUUUUCAUGAGUAACACAGUUUAUUUAUUAUUUAUUAACAUUUAUUGUUACAUUUAUUCAACACAUGAUAGACCCCUCAUCAUGUACUCACUUAACAUUUUUUUUUCCUUUGAUUAUGUAAUACUUACAGUUGGAAACAAACACCUUUGAAUUAUUGGAAGCAAUUUGUUACUAUAAAAUUGUGGGGUUGUAAUUUUUUAAUGAUGAAAAUUUGAAUAAUUACUAAUUGAAUGUGAUUCCUUCCUUUGUGCAUGUUUUAUAUUAAAAAAAAAAUCUCAUUUAAUUUUCCUUCAUAUGGAAUUAGACAAUUAUUAUCUAAACCACCAUUGAAUUAUUUUAUUAGUCAUUUAAUUAUACAUUUGCAAACGUGUAUAGGGGAGAGUGGGGUAAGUUGAGCCAAAGGGUAAGUUGAGCCACCCCUUGUUGCUUGGAAAUGGUCAAAGAAAUUGAUCAUAUGACCAAAUAUUUAGGAGAUGGGCAUCAAUUCAUGGAGUCUGUGAAGG